CGCAUGUGGAUUCCGAGUGUGAUGUUUGCGAAGUCCCUAUCUACCUGAGUAUCUACCGUCCGACCGACCGAUACUAUGCGUUAAUAUUACAUUUAAUUCAGUCGGAUUUCGAGUUUGAAUGUACAUUACGGUGGCGCUAUAGUCGUAUUUACCUCCCGGCUACGGUGUCGACGGAAGAGAUCCGCCGAACAAGAAACGAGGGCGUCGCGGACGCGGCUCGGGCUUAUGGAGGGGAGUGGCGGCGGCGGUGGACGGGAAGGAGAGCAGGAUGUCAGACACUUAAAUACCGAGAUUAAAUUCGAUUGGUACACAACACGUCUUAUCCUUCAUAAUAAAGCGUUCGGUAUUAACACGAAGACGAUGAAUUGUCGUGACAGAAAUAUAAAUAGAAAUUACGGCUACAUAGUGUGAUUUAUAAACAUAAAUAACGAUAUUUUGCAGUUUUAAU